UACAAUUAAAAAUGUCGUUUUGAAUUUGUCUGUUCGCAUACCGCAUGCUAAAUUCACUUCCGUCAUUAUUUUUCUUGAUUUAAAUGAAUAUAUUCGUUGAUUGUUACGCGAAGGAAAAAAAAAACGAUAAUAUUUCGCGCAUCGUAAGUAAUUAAAAUGGAAGCUAAAAAGAGUUGAAUCUCGAAAGAUGGCACCACCGAAUCAAUUUCCCAAGGUAUACGUCGUAAAAUGUCGCGAUACGAAGGGUGGUCGAUCGCGACGAGCAGUGGGAGGAGGACGUUCCUCGUUCGUUGACCGAAUCAUGCAGAAACGUUUAGAAAAAUUACAACUCGAAUUGGUACGAUUGAAACGUGCAAAAUCUUUGCUUAAU
rnacentral:lncRNA from 1 species